GCCAGAGUAGCUCAGCCUGGUAGAGCGUUUCCUUGGUAAGGAAAAGGUCGCGAGUUCGAAUCUCGCCUCUGGCU
rnacentral:tRNA from 1 species